rnacentral:lncRNA from 10 species
UGGAGUGCAGCGGCAUGAUCUCAACUCACUGCAACCUCCACCUCCCAGGCUCAAGCCAUCCUUUCACCUCAGCCUUCCAAGUAGCUGGGACCACAGGCAUGUGCCACCAGCAGUCCUGACUGGUUUUGUGGAAGACAAUUUUACCACAGACAGGGUCAGGGGUGGUGGUUUUGGUAUGAAACUGUUCCACUUCAGAUCAUCAGGCAUUAGAGUCUCAUAAAGAGUGUGAAACCUAGAUCCCUUGCAUGUGCAGUUCACAUUAGGAUUCACGCUUCUAUGAGAAUCUAAUGCCUGCUGAUCUGACGGGGGGCGGAGCUCAGGCAGUAAUGCUCGCUGUCCACCACUCACUUCCUGCUGCGCAGCCUGGUUCCUACCAGGUCACCGACGGGUACAGUCCACAGCCUGGGGGUUAUGGGCCCCUGCACACCCCCACACCCAACUCAGUUUUGAAUUUUUAGUAGAGAUGGGGUUUUGCCAUGUAGCCCAGGCUGAUCUCAAAGUCUUGAGCUCAAGUGAUCUACCUGCCUUGGCCUCCCAAAUUGCUGGGAUUACAGGCGUGAGCCACCAUGCACAGUGGGUCAGUUCGUAUUGACUGGUUUUCUCUUAAUUGUAGGAUAUAUUUUCUCACUUUUUCUCAUGUCUUCUAAGUAUUUCUUGAGCUGUUGGACAUUGUGAACCUUCAUUGUAGAGAUGUGGGUUAUGUUAUCCUACUCCAGUGUUGAGUUUUAUUUUGGCAGGGAAUUAAAUUACUGAUGGGUUAACUUGAUCACGUGUGUCAAGGCUACAUUUUAGGUUUUGUUAGCGUGAGCUGGUUUUUAGUUUUGACCUUAUUCCUAGAGAAUCUUCCUUAAUCCCAAGGCAUGGCCUUCUAGGCCCUCCUGUGAAUGUCUGGGAUAUUCAUCAAGUCCUGAGAUUCCAAGAGUGGAGAUGCUGGCUGAGCCAGAAUUCAGAUGUGUUUCCAGCACUCUGUGACCACUGAAAUCGCUGUUUAGCUCUCAGCUCCCCAUCGGCUGUUCUGUGCUAGGCCUUGCAGAGUCUCAAUCCACACAUUCAUAGUUUGGGAUUUGGCCAAGGACCUGCAGCAACCUCUAUAAGAUUUCUGGGGCUCCUUCUCUGCAACUCCAUCCUUUCUGAUACCCUGCCACACACAUUUUAGCAGCCCUGAGCAGCAGUCUCCGUUUCCUCCACCAAACAAGACUGAUCCUUUGCCUGGACUCUGCUUCCUCGUGCUGUCAUUGAGGGUUUUGAAACUUUCCCCACCAGAAAAAUGUAGCAGUAACUUCAUGUGAUUCCCUUCUCUCAGAUUGUACCUGGAACUGCCUAUUGCCCAAUGGCUGAAGACAAUUUCUUCAUGUACUUUGUCCAGCUUUGUAGUUGUUUAUGCUGGGAGACCAUCAUCAAUACAGGAAGAGGAAGACAGAGCUCUUACCAGGGGGAGGCAGAGAUGGCACAGCAAGAGACAUGCCCCCAGAAUGCCACCAAUGCCCCAGGACAGGCCCACCCAUGGGACCAGGUUAUCGGGAUAACCUGGGAGGAUGGGGUGGAAUCUGAGGGGUGAGCCUUCUUCCCCAGGCUGGAAGUGGGCGACACGAGACUGGCACCUCUACAUCUGAUUGUCCCCCAAACCCAGCAUUUAUGUCGUGAGCAAAGAAAGAAAUCAUGUUACUUCUUCCAGCUGAUGUUCCACUUGUUUCUUCUGCUGUUUCUGUGGGGAGAGUCAAAUUCAGGUGACUGAGGGUGGCCCCCUCAGCUCUAUUCCCCAGACCAGGAAGCGGUAGGCAGGGGCCAGGAAUGGAUUUUAAAGGCAAAGUUCUCAGACCCAAUGGCAACACAAACUGGUCAACUCUCCUCAAGCUCCCAAGGACACAGGAUGUGGGUCUUUGUUGGUUUUUGCCCACAGCCACAGAACUCAAAGUCUGAAUCUGGAUUCUCUCAAAAGGACAGUAACAUAAACCUCCAGAGACGGAGUCUGAGAAAGGCCCACCCUUCUGCCAGCUUGUGAUUUAGAAAGGUGCGUUCAUUCAAUGAACAUUUACUGAGCACACACAGGCCAGGUACAGUUCUUCACAACAGAGAUACAGGACAGAAAAGGACAGACAGGAGGCCUUCGCCCUGAGGUUUCCAUUCUAGGGGACUUUAAAUCUCAGACUCUCAGAGCUAACAGAGACCUUUGAUACUCUCUACCUCCUCUGGAAACACAAGCCCAAGGAGGAGAGGUGGCUUGUCCAGACUCAAGGGCAAAUUAGAGACUGAGUCAGGGCAGAAAUAUGGGGCCCCUGACAACCAAUCAGGCUAGCGCUUCCCUGAGAGGUGACAACCCCAGGGCGUGUGUGGCAAGGACUGGAGCAGGGGUACCUGAAGAAGAGAGAGUCAGCAAAGAGGGCAGCAAUGGAAGAGCCAUGCUGCAUGCUCCUUGCUCUGGGGUCCCUCUAGGUGAGGCAUGGGCACCCCAGCUCUCCAUUUGUCCUUGGCACCAGGGGCCCCCAGCCCCUUUAUUCAGGGCCCCAAGGGGAAACUGGAGCCCAGGAUUGGCAGAGUGGAAUCAGGGGACUCUACUGGACUCUUACCAAUGACUAUGUUUUCAAUGAGUUGACUGAUUGUUGCAGAGCUCAAGUCCAGGGCUACUGCUAGUUCUUGGUACCGGCUCUGAGGUGCAUACAGAGAGGAGGAGUUGGAGGAGGACUGCAGGGAGAGGUAGAGAGAACAAUCAUUAGGGCUGGGGUGUGUGUGGGCUGUCUCAGCUGGCAGAGGGGCACCCAGCCCCCACUGUGAGAGGAGGUUGGAGGGCUGGCCUGCAGGGUCACUGCACCUCAGCCUAGGGCCUCUUACCUCCAGAUCCUUUAGGGUAGCAGAUGAUGCAGGGGUAAUAAAAAUGAGAAAUUCAAAGAAACAAAAACUUCCAUGGGAAACAGUUAUGGAUAUAGAGAAAGUAUAAAAACAGCAAGGGACUGGGCACGGUGGCUUGCGCAUGUAACUCCAGCACUUUGGGAGGCUGAGGCUGGUGGAUCACUUGAGGUAAGGAGUUCAAGACCAGUCUGUCCAACAUGGUGAAACCUCGUCUCUACUAAAAAUACAAAGAUUAGCUGGGCAUGGUGGCAGGUGUCUG